rnacentral:rRNA from 1 species
GAUACGGUGGCAAGUGAGCGAGGAUCGGGUCGUCGCAUCCUUAGUGGCGCGCUACAUUGGCGCCCGGAUGUAGUGGAAAAUGAGCAAGGGUAUUCGCAUUUGACUCGACGAGUGCGAAGGGUGAGGAAGCUAGCCGAGCCUAGGAGGAUUCGCUUAGGUAGCUGGAACAUAGGGUCUCUGACAGGGAAGCUUCGGGAGCUAGUUGAUGCAGCAGUGAGGAGAGGUGUUGAUAUCCUUUGCGUCCAAGAAACCAAAUGGAGAGGACAGAAGGCGAAGGAGGUGGAGGAUACCGGCUUCAAGCUGUGGUACACGGGGACGGCUGCAAACAGAAAUGGCGUAGGCAUCUUGAUCAACAAGAGCCUCAAGUAUGGAGUGGUAGACGUCAGGAGACGUGGGGACCGGAUUAUCCUGGUCAAG